rnacentral:rRNA from 1 species
CCUACGGGGAGCAGCAGUGGGGGAUAUUGCACAAUGGGGGAAACCCUGAUGCAGCGACGCCGCGUGGGUGAAGAAGCGCCUCGGCGCGUAAAGCCCUGUCAGCAGGGAAGAAAAUGACGGUACCUGAAGAAGAAGCCCCGGCUAACUACGUGCCAGCAGCCGCGGUAAUACGUAGGGGGCAAGCGUUAUCCGGAUUUACUGGGGGUAAAGGGGGCGCAGACGGCGAUGCAAGACAGGAGUGAAAGCCCGGGGCCCAACCCCGGGACUGCUUUUGGAACUGCGUGGCUAGAGUGCAGGAGGGGCAGGCGGAAUUCCUGGUGUAGCGGUGAAAUGCGUAGAUAUCAGGAGGAACACCAGUGGCGAAGGCGGCCUGCUGGACUGCAACUGACGUUGAGGCCCGAAAGCGUGGGGAGCAAACAGGAUUAGAUACCCUUGUAGUC